UACGUAGGGUGCAAGCGUUGUCCGGAAUUAUUGGGCGUAAAGAGCUCGUAGGCGGAUCUUUAAGUCAGGGGUGAAAUCCUGGAGCUCAACUCCAGAACUGCCUUUGAUACUGGGGAUCUCGAGUCCGGAAGAGGUGAGUGGAACUCCGAGUGUAGAGGUGAAAUUCGUAGAUAUUCGGAAGAACACCAGUGGCGAAGGCGGCUCACUGGUCCGGUACUGACGCUGAGGUGCGAAAGCGUGGGGAGCAAACAGG
rnacentral:rRNA from 1 species